rnacentral:rRNA from 1 species
UGCCCUGCACUUUGGGAUAAGCCUGGGAAACUGGGUCUAAUACCGAAUAUGACCAUGCGCCUCCUGGUGUGUGGUGGAAAGCUUUUGCGGUGUGGGAUGGGCCCGCGGCCUAUCAGCUUGUUGGUGGGGUAAUGGCCUACCAAGGCGACGACGGGUAGCCGGCCUGAGAGGGUGACCGGCCACACUGGGACUGAGAUACGGCCCAGACUCCUACGGGAGGCAGCAGUGGGGAGUAUUGCACAAUGGGCGCAAGCCUGAUGCAGCGACGCCGCGUGAGGGAUGACGGCCUUCGGGUUGUAAACCUCUUUCAGCACAGACGAAGCGCAAGUGACGGUAUGUGCAGAAGAAGGACCGGCCAACUACGUGCCAGCAGCCGCGGUAAUACGUAGGGUCCGAGCGUUGUCCGGAAUUACUGGGCGUAAAGAGCUCGUAGGUGGUUUGUCGCGUUGUUCGUGAAAACUCACAGCUUAACUGUGGGCGUGCGGGCGAUACGGGCAGACUUGAGUACUGCAGGGGAGACUGGAAUUCCUGGUGUAGCGGUGGAAUGCGCAGAUAUCAGGAGGAACACCGGUGGCGAAGGCGGGUCUCUGGGCAGUAACUGACGCUGAGGAGCGAAAGCGUGGGGAGCGAACAGGAUUAGAUACCCUGGUAGUCCACGCCGUANACGGUGGGUACUAGGUGUGGGUUUCCUUCC